rnacentral:rRNA from 1 species
UCGGGAAUUUUGGGCAAUGGGCGAAAGCCUGACCCAGCAACGCCGCGUGAAGGAUGAAGUAUUUCGGUAUGUAAACUUCGAAAGAAUGGGAAGAAUAAAUGACGGUACCAUUUAUAAGGUCCGGCUAACUACGUGCCAGCAGCCGCGGUAAUACGUAGGGACCAAGCGUUGUUCGGAUUUACUGGGCGUAAAGGGCGCGUAGGCGGCUUAACAAGUCACUUGUGAAAUCUCCGGGCUUAACUCGGAACGGCCAAGUGAAACUGUUAAGCUAGAGUGCAGAAGGGGCAAUCGGAAUUCUUGGUGUAGCGGUGAAAUGCGUAGAUAUCAAGAGGAACACCUGAGGUGAAGACGGGUUGCUGGGCUGACACUGACGCUGAGGCGCGAAAGCCAGGGGAGCAAACGGGAUUAGAUACCCGUGUAGUCCCUGAGCGGGCUGGCAAGGCGCAU